UGGGGAAUAUUGCACAAUGGGCGAAAGCCUGAUGCAGCGACGCCGCGUGAGCGAAGAAGUAUUUCGGUAUGUAAAGCUCUAUCAGCAGGGAAGAUAAUGACGGUACCUGACUAAGAAGCACCGGCUAAAUACGUGCC
rnacentral:rRNA from 1 species